GUAGUCAUAUGCUUGUCUCAAAGAUUAAGCCAUGCAUGUCUAAGUAUAAGCAAUUAUACCGUGAAACUGCGAAUGGCUCAUUAAAUCAGUUAUCGUUUAUUUGAUAGUACCUUACUACUUGGAUAACCGUGGUAAUUCUAGAGCUAAUACAUGCUAAAAACCCCGACUUCGGGAGGGGUGUAUUUAUUAGAUAAAAAACCAAUGCCCUUCGGGGCUCUCUGGUGAUUCAUAAUAACUUAACGGAUCGCAUGGCCUUGCGCCGGCGACGGUUCAUUCAAAUUUCUGCCCUAUCAACUUUCGAUGGUAAGGUAUUGGCUUACCAUGGUUUCAACGGGUAACGGGGAAUUAGGGUUCGAUUCCGGAGAGGGAGCCUGAGAAACGGCUACCACAUCCAAGGAAGGCAGCAGGCGCGCAAAUUACCCAAUCCCGACACGGGGAGGUAGUGACAAUAAAUACUGAUACAGGGCUCUUUUGGGUCUUGUAAUUGGAAUGAGUAAAAUUUAAACCCCUUAACGAGGAACAAUUGGAGGGCAAGUCUGGUGCCAGCAGCCGCGGUAAUUCCAGCUCCAAUAGCGUAUAUUAAAGUUGUUGCAGUUAAAAAGCUCGUAGUUGAAACUUGGGCCUGGCUGGCCGGUCCGCCUCACCGCGUGUACUGGUCCGGCCGGGCCUUUCCUUCUGGAGAGCCUCAUGCCCUUCACUGGGUGUGUUGGGGAACCAGGACUUUUACUUUGAAAAAAUUAGAGUGUUCAAAGCAGGCCUUUGCUCGAAUACGUUAGCAUGGAAUAAUAGAAUAGGACGUGCGAUCCUAUUUUGUUGGUUUCUAGGACCGCCGUAAUGAUUAAUAGGGAUAGUCGGGGGCAUCAGUAUUCAAUUGUCAGAGGUGAAAUUCUUGGAUUUAUUGAAGACUAACUACUGCGAAAGCAUUUGCCAAGGAUGUUUUCAUUAAUCAGUGAACGAAAGUUAGGGGAUCGAAGACGAUCAGAUACCGUCGUAGUCUUAACCGUAAACUAUGCCGACUAGGGAUCGGGCGAUGUUAUUAUUUUGACUCGCUCGGCACCUUACGAGAAAUCAAAGUUUUUGGGUUCUGGGGGGAGUAUGGUCGCAAGGCUGAAACUUAAAGGAAUUGACGGAAG
rnacentral:rRNA from 1 species